rnacentral:rRNA from 1 species
UACGGGGGGGGCAAGCGUUGUUCGGAAUUACUGGGCGUAAAGGGCUCGUAGGUGGCCAACUAAGUCAGACGUGAAAUCCCCCGGCUUAACCGGGGAACUGCGUCUGAUAUUGGAUGGCUUGAGUUCGGGAGAGGGAUGCGGAAUUCCAGGUGUAGCGGUGAAAUGCGUAGAUAUCGUUUGGAACGCCAAUGGUGAAAACAGGUAACUGGGAGUGUGCCGACGCUGAGAUACGAAAGCCAGGGGAGCGAACGGG